UGGGGAAUAUUGGACAAUGGGCGAAAGCCUGAUCCAGCCAUGCCGCGUGUGUGAAGAAGGUCUUCGGAUUGUAAAGCACUUUAAGUUGGGAGGAAGGGCAGUAAGCGAAUACCUUGCUGUUUUGACGUUACCGACAGAAUAAGCACCGGCUAACUCUGUGCCAGCAGCCGCGGUAAUACAGAGGGUGCAAGCGUUAAUCGGAUUUACUGGGCGUAAAGCGUGCGUAGGCGGCUAAUUGAGUCGGAUGUGAAAUCCCCGAGCUUAACUUGGGAAUUGCAUUCGAUACUGGUUAGCUAGAGUGUGGUAGAGGAUGGUAGAAUUCCAGGUGUAGCGGUGAAAUGCGUAGAGAUCUGGAGGAAUACCGAUGGCGAAGGCAGCCAUCUGGCCUAACACUGACGCUGAGGUACGAAAGCAUGGGGAGCAAACAGG
rnacentral:rRNA from 1 species